GACGUAGGGCGCGAGCGUUGUCCGGAUUUAUUGGGCGUAAAGAGCUCGUAGGCGGCUUGUCGCGUCGACUGUGAAAUCCCGCGGCUCAACUGCGGGUCUGCAGUCGAUACGGGCAGGCUAGAGUUCGGUAGGGGAGACUGGAAUUCCUGGUGUAGCGGUGAAAUGUGCAGAUAUCAGGAAGAACACCGGUGGCGAAGGCGGCUCUCUGGGCCUUACCUGACGCUGAGGAGCGAAAGCGUGGGUAGCGAACAGG
rnacentral:rRNA from 1 species